GUAAGAGCUCGUAGGCGGUUUGUCGCGUCUGCUGUGAAAUCCCGAGGCUCAACCUCGGGCUUGCAGUGGGUACGGGCAGACUAGAGUGCGGUAGGGGAGAUUGGAAUUCCUGGUGUAGCGGUGGAAUGCGCAGAUAUCAGGAGGAACACCGAUGGCGAAGGCAGAUCUCUGGGCCGUAACUGACGCUGAGGAGCGAAAGCAUGGGGAGCGAACAGGAUUAGAUACCCUGGUAGUCCAUGCCGUAAACGUUGGGCGCUAGAUGUAGGGACCUUUCCACGGUUUCUGUGUCGUAACUAACGCAUUAAUCGCCCCGGCUGGGGAGUACGGCCGCAAGGCUAAAACUCAAAGGAAUUGACGGGGGCCCGCACAAGCGGAGGAGCAUGCGGAUUAAUUCGAUGCAACGCGAAGAACCUUACCUAGGGUUGACAUACACCGGAAACGGGCAGAGAUGGACGCCCCCUUGUGGUCGGCGUACAGGUGGUGCAUGGUUGUCGUCAGCUCGUGUCGUGAGAUGUUGGGUUAAGUCCCGCAACGAGCGCAACCCUCGUUCUAUGUUGCCAGCGCGUUAUGGCGGGGACUCAUAGGAGACUGCCGGGGUCAACUCGGAGGAAGGUGGGGAUGACGUCAAAUCAUCAUGCCCCUUAUGUCUUGGGCUUCACGCAUGCUACAAUGGCCGGUACAAAGGGCUGCGAUACCGUAAGGUGGAGCGAAUCCCAAAAAGCCGGUCUCAGUUCGGAUUGACGUCUGCAACUCGACCUCAUGAAGUCUGAGUCGCUAGUAAUCGCAGAUCAGCAACGCUGCGGUGAAUACGUUCCCGGGCCUUGUACACACCGCCCGUCAAGUCAUGAAAGUCGGUACACCCGAAGGCGGUGGCCUAACCCUUGUGGAAGGAGCCGACGAAGGUGGGAUCGGUGAUUAGGACGAAGUCG
rnacentral:rRNA from 2 species